rnacentral:rRNA from 1 species
UACGUAGGGGGCAAGCGUUGUCCGGAUUUACUGGGCGUAAAGAGCGCGUAGGCGGAACGUUAAGCGGGGCCGGAAAGCCCCCGGCUCAACCGGGGAAGGGGCCGCGAACUGGCGUUCUUGAGGGGGAGAGGGGAGAGCGGAAUUCCUGGUGUAGCGGUGAAAUGCGUAGAGAUCAGGAGGAACACCCAUGGCGAAGGCAGCUCUCUGGCUUCACCCUGACGCUGAGGCGCGAAAGCGUGGGAGCGAACGGG